GACAGAGGGUGCAAACGUUGUUCGGAAUUACUGGGCGUAAAGCGUGUGUAGGCGGCCACGUAAGUCGGAUGUGAAAGCCCCGGGCUUAACCCGGGAAGUGCAUUCGAAACUGCGUGGCUUGAGUAUCGGAGAGGUUGGUGGAAUUCUCGGUGUAGAGGUGAAAUUCGUAGAUAUCGAGAGGAACACCGGUGGCGAAGGCGGCCAACUGGACGAAUACUGACGCUGAGACACGAAAGCGUGGGGAGCAAACAGG
rnacentral:rRNA from 1 species